CCAUUUUCUACAGAGCCACUCUUCCUUGGUGGGAGUCCAUCUCCUCCGUUUUCUUGUCCAUUUGAAGAUUUGAGAGGAAUCUGGCUGGAAUACAGUGGCUUCGUCACCUCCACCUUGCUCCCAAACUUCAGGAGACUUUCACUCCAUUAUCUUGUCAGUGCAUCUCCAAAGUGAGGCAGCCUUUUGGAAUAAUAAUAAUCAUCAUCAUAAGAAAAAGGAACUUGCUCCUGCAUAUGCUUCUCCUUCUGUCCGCACUAAAGAGCGAGCGAGUGAGCAAGCAGGAUUUCCAGCUUAAGAUGUCUCUCUUCAGCCUUAGCCAAGAAGCAGAUGUAGCUCAGCGUGUUAAUGACUGAUGCCCUUGGAUACAAGCCUUACAGAAUCAAGCUUCUUAAGCCUUAAAAGCUGUGAACAGGACAACGCUGGAGCAGGAGGAGAAACGUUCACUGCCAGCUAAGAUUUUAAAUAAAAACCAGCCAGUGGCCACAGAAUUUCCUGGCUCCCCCAGUGCCGAGCAGAAAACCUGGAGGGAAAACGUAACGAAGCAAACCUAAUAAAACUCAUUCAGCUAGCAGACGGAAGGGAGAGCAGCAGCCACCACCUCAUUUUCCCUCCUGCAGUAGAGCGGGUUCCUACCCGGAGAGGGGAGGGAAAAGGCGCUGGAACAGUGAGGGAAGCCCCCGGAUUGGUCCUGCCUGCUCGGGGCAGGCAGGGAAAGAAUAAAUCCAAAGCGAAGUGAAGGAAUGGAAUCAAUCCCUCGCUGCGCAGGGGAGGAGUGGCUUCAGCUCCCAGGGAACGCGACGGCAAAGCGGGUGGCGGGGGCUGUGCCGGUUUCUUUUUGAAAUUGAAAUAAAAAUCUAAAGCUUUUUCAAAUCCAAA